CAGCCGCCACGGUAAUACGUAGGGUGCAAGCGUUAAUCGGAAUUACUGGGCGUAAAGCGUGCGCAGGCGGUUCGCUAAGACAGAUGUGAAAUCCCCGGGCUUAACCUGGGAAUUGCAUUUGUGACUGGCGGGCUAGAGUAUGGCAGAGGGGGGUGGAAUUCCGCGUGUAGCAGUGAAAUGCGUAGAUAUGCGGAGGAACACCGAUGGCGAAGGCAGUCCCCUGGGACAACACUGACGCUGAGGCACGAAAGCGUGGGGAGCAAACAGGAUUAGAUACCCCCGUAGUCCCUGUCUCUUAUAC
rnacentral:rRNA from 1 species